UCCCAUAUAGUGCAUAGGUUUAGCAUAUUGGAUUUUCAACUUCCACAUUGAAAUCUCCAAAGACCCGGGUUCGAACCCCGGUGUGGGAA